rnacentral:rRNA from 1 species
AUACGACCGUACCGCAAACCGACACUGGUGCGCGAGAUGAGUAUUCUAAGGCGCUUGAGAGAACUCAGGAGAAGGAACUCGCCAAAUUGACACCGUAACUUCGGAAGAAGGUGUGCCCUAUUAGUGGGUAGUGAACAACGAAGCAUGAAUGGGUUGCAAAAAAUCGGUGGCUGCGACUGUUUAUUAAAAACACAGCACUCUGCAAACACGAAAGUGGACGUAUAGGGUGUGACGCCUGCCCGGUGCUGGAAGAUUAAAUGAUGGGGUGCAAGCUCUUGAUUGAAGUCCCAGUAAACGGCGGCCGUAACUAUAACGGUCCUAAGGUAGCGAAAUUCCUUGUCGGGUAAGUUCCGACCUGCACGAAUGGCGUAACGAUGGCCACACUGUCUCCUCCUGAGACUCAGCGAAGUUGAAAUGUUUGUGAUGAUGCAAUCUCCCCGCGGAAAGACGGAAAGACCCCAUGAACCUUUACUGUAGCUUUGUAUUGGACUUUGAACAGAUCUGUGUAGGAUAGGUGGGAGGCUUUGAAGCAGGGUCGCUAGAUCUUGUGGAGCCAACGUUGAAAUACCACCCUGGUGUGUUUGAGGUUCUAACCUAGGUCCAUUAUCUGGAUCGGGGACAGUGCAUGGUAGGCAGUUUGACUGGGGCGGUCUCCUCCCAAAGCGUAACGGAGGAGUUCGAAGGUACGCUAGUUACGGUCGGACAUCGUGACGAUAGUGCAAUGGCAUAAGCGUGCUUAACUGCGAGACUGACAAGUCGAGCAGAUGCGAAAGCAGGACAUAGUGAUCCGGUGGUUCUGUAUGGAAGGGCCAUCGCUCAACGGAUAAAAGGUACUCUGGGGAUAACAGGCUGAUACCGCCCAAGAGUUCAUAUCGACGGCGGUGUUUGGCACCUCGAUGUCGGCUCAUCUCAUCCUGGGGCUGUAGCCGGUCCCAAGGGUAUGGCUGUUCGCCAUUUAAAGAGGUACGUGAGCUGGGUUUAAAACGUCGUGAGACAGUUUGGUCCCUAUCUUCCGUGGGCGCUGCAGAUUUGAGGAAGCCUGCUCCUAGUACGAGAGGACCGGAGUGGACACACCUCUGGUGUAUCGGUUGUCACGCCAGUGGCAUUGCCGAGUAGCUAAGUGUGGAAGAGAUAACCGCUGAAAGCAUCUAAGCGGGAAACUCGUUUCAAGAUGAGAUCUGCCGGGGCCUUGAGCCCCCUAAAGAGUCGUUCAAGACCAGGACGUUGAUAGGUCAGGUGUGGAAGC